ACAGCAGCCUCAUUGGCGCUGAAGGCUGUGAGCGGCCUGUUCGCGGGGAUGUAACGUAUAGGCCAACGAACUGCGAACUGUCUGUACCGACAGCAAUCCUACAGGAUCAGUUCGACAAACUGGAUGCGAUGGCAAACGAAGAUUUACCCAUAAUGAUGAAACUGGAACAGUUGAGGAAAUGGCAGCAGGAAAUGCAGAAGCAGCUGGAGGCUCAUCAGCUGGAGGAACUGCUGUGUCUCCAGGAGGAGCAGCAAAGGCUUCUAGGAAUCGGGAAUGAUCCACAUCGCUUAUUGGGGGGUAAGGAAUAAACCAAAUGACAGCAGAGCUGCACAGUUAAGCAGUUCAAAUAGGUAAAGAUUUAAACCAUAGGGAAACCAUGUCACUGUGUCAAACCCCCAGAGAAUACACAGUUAUCAGAGCCAGAAUGGGGUGAAGAAACGGUCCACUCUAGGCCGGAUGUGAACAGCUCUGAGGUUCCUCGGGCUGCCAGCGGCAUCAGACCAGAGCAGCAGCUUUCAAUAGCAGAUGGAAAGAAGGAGCUUUUGAAAGAUCAGGAGGAUGGAAUGCCGGACACCAAACCGAACGAGUGGAGGCGACGUGGCGAUGGCCGAGCUUUUCCUGAGGUCGAAGAAGCAAAUCAGGAAUGUAAAGAUGCAGCUUCUGCUCAAGGAAGAAACAGGAAGGGGGAUCAGGUCUGGAAUGACCGGUAAGUCCUGUCGUAUUUCAUUUGAAACACCACACAUUUGUCUCAUUUCCAGGAAAGCUACAGUAAAAUAAAAGUCAAAGGUAAAAUACUCUGAAAUAGAAUGACUUGUUUUUCAAAUGUAAUUUCAAAAGCUGCAUUUUUUUCAGUGUAAUUGGGCAAAACACUUGCCAGGAGAAAAAUAAACAUGG
rnacentral:lncRNA from 1 species